UUCAUUCAGCAGGGGACUCUGUUUAUACCUCCAGGAACCCACGCUCUGCGACUGUAAAGGAACCCAUUCCCCCACUGCCACCUCCAUCACCUAUAAGGUGCUGCAGAUCUUUGCCAGCAUGGUAUGAUCUAAUAUCCAAUUAAUGAUAGAUCUCAAGUGCUGUGCUUUAAAUUUUCUUACUCCUUUUUUUAUGAAACAUCAAACAAGUUUUCAAGGGAGCUUGACACUUGUGUCACUAUCAGAACCACUCUCAUACCCGUAGGCUGUAUGGGUCCCUUUGACUCUCUCCCAUUUUCAGUGCACUCUCUGCCUUUCUGGGGCAUCUUCUUUCACAGAAUCCUUCCUGCGGUUUGGGGAUCCAUCAGUUUCCUCUUUGUCCACAUGUCAUAAUCCCAGUGUCCGAGGGCCAGAUCUCCAGUCUCUGAGCCCCUAUUGAUCUGGAAAUCUCCUGGUGUCCUUUCUUGCACACUUGUGCUUGUGCUCAGUUGUGUCCCACUCUUUUGCGACCCCAUGGACUGUAACCCAUCAGGGUCUUCUGUCCAUGGACUUUUUCAAGCAAGAAUACUAGAUCAGGGGAUCUAGUGUUUCCUACCCCAGGGGAUUCUCCCAACCUAGGGAUCGAACUCACAUUUCUUGUGUCUCAUGCAUUGGCAGGCAAAUUCUUUACCACUAGUGCCACCUGGGAAGCCCACCUGCUAUAAUCCCCCAAAACAAAACUCAGGAUCAUCAACCAAUACGGGAUAUCCAAAAACCAGGAGAGACUCAUUCAAAUCUGUACAGACUGCCAGAGCAGUUGGAUGGGCACAAGGGACCCCUGCUGCCAAGGCUCUGGAUCCUCCUAGAGUUCAGGCAGAAGAGAGGAAUCUGCUCUGGUUCCUUUGUCAGUCGCCAUCACUAUUAAAAGAUAGUCACAACCUAGAAGUCGAGAGUUAUGUUUUAUUCAGUGGGGAUUUUGGGGACUCCAGGCCCAGGAGAUAGUACCUCAAGAAACCCUGCAAGAACUACUCCAAGCUCAAUGGAGGUAAACAGAUGGAUCUUCUCCCUGACACAUCAGAUGGUACCCAGAUGGAGAUGCAAGGGAGUGUGCAGGGACCCCCAAGUGCGAGGCUCAACUGUGGCUGUUCAUGUCAAGAGAAUAAGAGACCCCCAUACCUAGGUUUGUGCUUCCUUCCUCUGUCUUAAUGCAGCAUCUUUCUGUUCCCCCUGCCUCCUCCUCUCCUGCUCCAGUCCUGCCUUGACAGCCUGAUGAAGGGAUUUCAGCACUGACUGUCCCCUCCCUUCUGCCUCUGAGUACCAUUCUCCAUGUUAAUGCUCCUCCUCUCAAUAGGAGAGAGGCAAACGUUCUUGCCACUCAGUUCUCACUGGGCACCUCUGGUCACUGCAGUGCCAGUUCAGCCUGACAGGAGCUGGUCAAAGGAUGAUUGCAUGGGGUGAAAUCUUGUCAGCCGCUGUCAGUAACGGAUGGGAAGGAUACUUCAGGCUACAGUGACAUUACAGGAAGAAGGCCUGAAAGGAAUUGUUCCUUGCUGUUUGGAAAUCAUAAGAUCCAUUUUAUCCUUGGUAGCAAAGUGGACUCUGCUUUUCUGGUAGGAAGUACAUAUUUCUACCAUCAUUGCAGUCUUUGUUGGGACAGAAAAAUGAAGCAGCUGAGCCCCUUCCCCAACUCCAUGAAUGCUGAUGUCUGUUUCAGAAGCUAUAUGCUAGAAGUGAUGUAAGGAUAACAUAGGAACCAAUGCACCAGAGGGCUUCCUAGGUGAUGCUAUUGGUUAAGAAUCUGCCUGCCAAUGCAAGAGAUGCAUGAUUGAUCCCUGGUUCUAAAAGAUUUGCUGGAGGAGGAAAUGGCAACCCAAUCCAGUAUUCUUGCCUGGGAAAUCCUAUGGACAGAAGAGCCUGGUGGGCUACAGUCCAUGCGGUCACAAACUGUUGGACAUGACUGAGCACACGCACAUAGCGCCCCAGAAGGAGGCAGUGAAUUGUAGGUGACUCAUAGCAGGGCAAAGAGCCUUGGGCUGCUUCAGUUCAGUUCAGUUCAGUCACUCAGUCGUGUCCGACUCUUUGCAACCCCAUGAAUCGCAGCACACCAGGCCUCCCUGUCCAUCACCAACUCCUGGAGUUCACUCAGAUUCACGUCCAUCGAGUCAGUGAUGCCAUCCAGCCAUCUCAUCCUCUGUCGUCCCCUUCUCCUCCUGCCCCCAAUCCCUCCCAGCAUCAGAGUUUUUUCCAAUGAGUCAACUCUUCGCAUGAGGUGGCCAAAAGCCUCUCUACAGUUAGACAUUACUUAAGUAGCUUUAGCUACUGUCUCAGUCAAUUCAGGCUACUAUAACAAAAUACCAGAGCCUGUGUGGUUUAUAAACAACACAGCGAUUGAACCUGCAUCUUCUGUGUCUUCUGCAUUGUUGGUGGAUUCUUUACCUGCUGAGCCAUUGGGAAAGCCUUCUACCCAUGACCUAAUCACCUCCCAAGAACCUACCUCCUAAUGCUGUCACCUUGUGGAUUAAGAUUUUAACAUGGAAAUCAGGGUUUCCCUGAUGGCUCAGGGGAUAAAAAAAUAUGUCUGCCAAUGCAGGAGACCCAGGUUCAAUCCCUGGGUAAAGAAGAUCCCUUGGAGGAAGAAAUGGCAACCUACUCCAGUAUUCUUGCCUGAGAAAUGCCAUGGAC
rnacentral:lncRNA from 1 species